rnacentral:rRNA from 1 species
UACAGAGGGUGCAAGCGUUGUUCGGAAUUACUGGGCGUAAAGCGCACGUAGGCGGCUUUCUAAGUCGGAGGUGAAAUCCUGGAGCUCAACUCCAGAACUGCCUUCGAUACUGGAGAGCUUGAGUCCGGGAGAGGUGAGUGGAACUGCGAGUGUAGAGGUGAAAUUCGUAGAUAUUCGCAAGAACACCAGUGGCGAAGGCGGCUCACUGGCCCGGUACUGACGCUGAGGUGCGAAAGCGUGGGGAGCAAACAGG